rnacentral:lncRNA from 1 species
UUAAUUGGUAUAUAACACUGAAAACUUGGAACCUCUAUCAAAUUAAGCUCUUUGACCUAACUGAAAACAUGAAUAAAAUAUCCCAGAAGGUAAUCAUGUGGUAAAGUAAUUAAAUUGUAAAUUAGGCUAGAAAUCAUGUUUAGAUUUUAUACUGGUAUUGUUAGGAUUCUUAGUGAUCAUUUCUUGUUGUCAUUUUAUUACUUUCAUUAAUAUUUUGUAUUUAGUCAUGUUCAUGCAUUUUUAUAUUAUAUCUCAGUCUCAGUUAGUUAUUGAUUUAUUAUAUCAUAUUUUGGGUUUGUUUUCAUGACAUUGUGAGUUCGUGGGUGAGACUGGAGAGAUUGAUGAUUGAGUGGGGCUGAGAAUCAAGUUAUGAGUGACUGCUGUGGGAUCAGGCAGUACGUAGCAUAUGAUAAAUCUUGGGCUGUAGGAUCCCCUUUCGAAGUCUGUGACACACCCUCAGUGAGCGCGAAUGAUAUUGGGCGAUGGAUUUCCCUGGACACAGAUUUGUCUGAAGUACUUGAUAACUGGAGAUGGAUUUCUCUCCAGGGUUAGAUUGACCUUUUCCUCGGUAUUGGGUGAAUUAUAGUCAGAUUUGUAUAUGUUUCGGGAUGGAUUUCCCUGGGCCUGUGGCAAUAUACAGUACCGAAUAGUUGAGCACUUGAGAGUGGGAGCACAUGGUGCAUUUCAUACAUUAUGUGCAUUGGCAUGUAGAGAUUAGUUGAGUUGUAUACCUUACAAUGGUCAGAUCUGUAAUUACUUUACUGCUUGAACUGUAUAUUUAACUUGAAAGCAUGCCUAUGUUUAUGCACAUUAACUUCUGUUAUACCUGUUGAUAUUGAGUUCAUCACUACCUUUUAGUUCAUAAUUUUUACUUGUUACUUAUUGAGUUGGUGUACUCACGUUACUUCCUGCACCUUGUGUGCAGAUCCAUGGGAUACUAGUCGUAGCGGCAGCUGUUGAUUGAGGAUUCUAGAGUUUGGAGAAUAUCAAGGUAGUCGUACGGCGUUCAUAGGCCUUGAAUCUCCUUUUUUAUCUUUGUCGUACUUUCAAUGUAUAUCUCCGGUCACAGUAUUAGGUUGUAUUCUGAUCUAGACGCUCAUGUACUUAGUGACACCUUGGUUUUGGGUUGGAUUGUAUCUCUUUGAGAUUUUCUUAUGUUUC